CAAGAGCGGCCUAUGUCUGAUUAGCUAGUUGGUGGGGUAAAGGCUCACCAAGGCGACGAUCAGUAUCUGGUCUGAGAGGACGAUCACCCACACUGGGACUGAGACACGGCCCACACUCCUACGGGAGGCAGCAGUGGGGAAUUUUGGACAAUGGGGGCAACCCUGAUCCAGCAAUGCCGCGUGUGUGAAGAAGGCCUUCGGGUUGUAAAGCACUUUUGUCCGGAAAGAAAACGUUCUGGUUAAUACCUGGGGCGGAUGACGGUACCGGAAGAAUAAGCACCGGCUAACUACGUGCCAGCAGCCGCGGUAAUACGUAGGGUGCGAGCGUUAAUCGGAAUUACUGGGCGUAAAGCGUGCGCAGGCGGUUUUGUAAGACAGGUGUGAA
rnacentral:rRNA from 1 species